rnacentral:rRNA from 1 species
AUUGAACGCUGGCGGCAGGCUUAACACAUGCAAGUCGAGCGGAGAUGAGGUGCUUGCACCUUAUCUUAGCGGCGGACGGGUGAGUAAUGCUUAGGAAUCUGCCUAUUAGUGGGGGACAACAUUCCGAAAGGAAUGCUAAUACCGCAUACGUCCUACGGGAGAAAGCAGGGGAUCUUCGGACCGUGCGCUAAUAGAUGAGCCUAAGUCGGAUUAGCUAGUUGGGAGGGUAAAGGCCUACCAAGGCGACGAUCUGUAGCGGGUCUGAGAAGAUGAUCCGCCACACUGGGACUGAGACACGGCCCAGACUCCUACGGGAGGCAGCAGUGGGGAAUAUUGGACAAUGGGGGAAACCCUGAUCCAGCCAUGCCGCGUGUGUGAAGAAGGCCUUAUGGUUGUAAAGCACUUUAAGCGAGGAGGAGGCUACUGAGACUAAUACUCUUGGAUAGUGGACGUUACUCGCAGAAUAAGCACCGGCUAACUCUGUGCCAGCCGCCGCCGUAA